CACCGCUGGGCUCCUAACUCCAGGUAGCAACCACUCUAUAGCCCCGUCUGGCUCCUUUCCCAAGGAAGAGCAGUAUCCCACCAUUGUCCAGGAGCAGGGCAGCGUCUGUGAACAGGUACCUUCCGUGGGAUCAGCAGCUUCACUUCUGAAGUGAGACCCCUUCCGUGGCGAGGCUGGACUCCAUUGUUUUACUUUGUUUUCUUUUAUUCUGUUUUGAGACAGGGUCUCACACUGUGUCCCAGACUGGUCUGAAACUAUCUAUGUGUAGCCCAGGCAGAAGUGGCAUACGCAGCAAUUCUCCUGUCUCAGUGUCCUGGCUGCUGAGCUUGCAGGCUGACAGUGAGUAGUCUGAGAGAAACGGAUACACUUAGCGGUCUGCCUGCUGACCACAUGGCUGAGCUCUGCAUAACAGCCUCGAGGGGCUUUGCAGUUGACAAAUGACUCUCAUGCAAUGUCAUAACUCUCCGGAGGAGGUAUUCGUCCCCCUAAUUUACAGCUAAGGAAACUGAGGUGGCUUGCUCACCACCAUAGGUAGGGACCAGUUAUCCACAGUUCACAGCUUCACACAGAGGAGAACUCGGCCCGGAAGCUCGUGGGCUGAGAGAAGGAAAAAAAAAAACAGCAAGAUGGUUGAGGGCUGGGAUUAUGGUAUCAAAACCUAGGCUGAGGACUUGGGAAACCAGUAAGUGGGUCCUGGCUCUACUGUCUCUUGUCCUCUGACCAAAGAGCAUGUGCAGGUUUAGGGUACUCAGAGGAUGGCAUAGAAGCUGAGAGGUAGCCCAGUCCAUGUGUCCUUCAGGUGAAGUGUGUGUGUGUGUGUGUGUGUGUACACAAGCAUGUGUGCUGUGUUUGCAUGCUUUAUGUGUGUGCACAUGUCUGCAUACUCAUGUGUGGGCGUGCACAUGGAGAUGAGAGGACAACCUUGGAUGCCAUUCUUCAAGUG
rnacentral:lncRNA from 1 species